CGGAGGAAAAGAAACCAACAGGGAUGCCCUUAGUAACGGCGAAGUGAAGCGGCAACAGCUCAAAUUUGAAAUCUGGCUCCGGCCCGAGUUGUAAUUUGCAGAGGAAGCUUCUGGUGAUGUACCGUCUAAGUCCCCUGGAACGGGGCGCCACAGUGGGUGAGAGCCCCAUUUGACGGAUGCAGAUCCUGUGUGAAGCUCCUUCGACGAGUCGAGUAGUUUGGGAAUGCUGCUCAAAAUGGGAGGUAAAUUCCUUCUAAAGCUAAAUAUUGGCCAGAGACCGAUAGCGCACAAGUAGAGUGAUCGAAAGAUGAAAAGCACUUUGAAAAGAGGGUUAAACAGCACGUGAAAUUGUUGAAAGGGAAGCGCUUGUGACCAGACUUGCGCUGGGCUGAUCAUCCGGUGUUCUCACCGGUGCACUCGGCCCAGCUCAGGCCAGCAUCGGUUUUGGUGGGGGGAUAAAGGCGCUGGGAACGUAGCUCCUUCGGGAGUGUUAUAGCCCAGCGUGCAAUGCCCCCGCUGGGACCGAGGUUCGCGCAUCUGCAAGGAUGCUGGCGUAAUGGUCAUCAGCGACCCGUCUUGAAACACGGACCAAGGAGUCAAGGUUUUGCGCGAGUGUUUGGGUGUCAAACCCGCACGCGUAAUGAAAGUGAACGUAGGUGAGAGCUUCGGCGCAUCAUCGACCGAUCCUGAUGUAUUCGGAUGGAUUUGAGUAGGAGCGUUAAGCCUUGGACCCGAAAGAUGGUGAACUAUGCUUGGAUAGGGUGAAGCCAGAGGAAACUCUGGUGGAGGCUCGCAGCGGUUCUGACGUGCAAAUCGAUCGUCAAAUCUGAGCAUGGGGGCGAAAGACUAAUCGA
rnacentral:rRNA from 1 species